rnacentral:rRNA from 1 species
UACGUAGGUGGCAAGCGUUGUCCGGAAUUACUGGGUGUAAAGGGAGCGUAGGCGGGAAAAUAAGUUGAAUGUUAAAUCUAUGGGCUUAACCCAUAUCAGCGUUCAAAACUGUUUUUCUUGAAUGAAGUAGAGGUAGGCGGAAUUCCUAGUGUAGCGGUGAAAUGCGUAAAUAUUAGGAGGAACACCAGUGGCGAAGGCGGCCUACUGGGCUUUAAUUGACGCUGAGGCUCGAAAGCGUGGGUAGCAAACAGG